AUGGGGCGUCUGCUGGGACAGUACCUGGGCAUAGCUGGGUGUCCGGCGCUGGGGUCGGCCUUCAGUGUAGAGCUGACUCUCCUGCUGUCUGUGAGACCAUCCUGAAGUCUUGGGUUGUCUGUGAAAGUCUCGUGGUGGUCUUGAGUGAGAUGAAGGUCCAGAUACCUCGGACGGCUGCAUUCUCAUGUUUCUUUUAGCUCCUCUGUAGUCGGUUGUUGGAAAGCGUCCAAGAGCAACAUCUUUGAUAGCUUUGGCAAAAAUCCUGACUCCAUCCUGAUUGAGGUGGAGCCCGUCAUACAGGUGCCAUGGUCUUACAGAGCUGUGAUGGACUAAGACUGGAGUAGGAGUAACGGAUCUCUUGGUUGAUCUGAUCGAUCACAGAGGGAGGGACGUCGAGCCGCGGGAGCAAGGUGGAGAUCAGUACACGUGAAGCGGCGAAUGUCUGUGAGGCUUUCUCUGCCAUCUCAUGUAUUGCCUUAGCUGUACCUUCAUUUAACUUAUAGAGGUCAUUUGUACCUGUGUGAAUGAUAACACACUGCGGGCUGCCGAGAUCAUCAUGAGUGAGCAGUUCAUGAACGCGUUCUGUGUUUCUGCAGUGGAGCGCUAGGACUCUCUGUCUGGGGAAGAGUUUCUUGGGUUCAAUGUUCUUUCCAGUGGAGUCCAUCAGAAGAAGCACUGAGGCUUGAGUCGCUGGUGUCCUGUGUGACGCUGGUGAUGUGUGUGAAUCUGCACGUCCAGAUCUGUGUGACGCUGGUGGUGUGUGUGAAUCUGCAGGUGCAGAUCUGUGUGACGCUGGUGGUGUGUGUGAAUCUGCAGGUCCAGAUCUGUGUGACGCUGGUGGUGUGUGUGAAUCUGCAGGUGCAGAUCUGUGUGACGUCUCUUCGUGAUGGAGCCGCAGGUUACUCUCAGAGCAGCUCUUGUUGGGAGAUUCUCUGUCCUUGUUUUUAAGCUCUAAACACAUUGCAGUCUGUUCUUUCAGCUUUUCUUUUAACUCAUGGAUGUUUUUCUCAAAUUUUCUUUCUCUCUGUAUUAAGUCGUCUUUCAUUUUUGACAUUUGGCCCUCUAGAUUCAUGUUGAUGUUGUGUAACUCCUUAAUUUCAGCCUUGAGAUUAUUGAUGGUGAAUUCAUCUGGACGGCUCAGGAUGAGCUGCUUUAAUUCUGACACCUCUAUCUCUAGCAGAGCCAUCUUCUGGGGAAGACACUGGAGAUAACUGUGAGUGUGUGAGUGUGUGUGUGUGUGUGUGAAGACCACGCCGCUCGCACACAUCACACAACUACAACACUACACAAGCAAACAUGAAGGAUCCUUAUCCACUUGAUCAUAUUUACACGCCAUCUUCACGCUCAAACACACACAGAGAAUGAGGAGCCGCUAUAAGGGCCCGGGGCCGCUUGACUCCAUGAUGAGUUUUAGGACGGAGAUGCAGACAGAGCUGUUUUUACUCUGGAAGAAAUCCCAGGAAUCCGUGAGAGCCCAGAGACGAGCCAAUCAGAGGGCAGAGAUGAGGUGAGGUCACAUGACCGUGAACGUCUGGACUCGGUCCAUCGGACAGCCGCUUCUCACUCAGAAACUGACUUCCUAAUAAUAACUGUCCGUGAGGAGCGUCCCAGCUUCACAUGUGUUGAUUCCAGACUCGGCUCAGAUAAACCGCUGAAGCUGUCCUGAGUCCCACAGCAGCCGUCCGUCUGAUCGCUGGAUGAGUUACCUAACUCACUCUGAACUCGACACUGACAUCCCUGUGUGCUUCACAGUCCUGAGAACAACAUCUAUAAAUACACCAGUGGUCCGACACACCUGUCAUCAUCCCCUCACCACAGAAUAAUACUGAUGAUGAUG